rnacentral:rRNA from 1 species
AACGAACGCUGGCGGCAUGCCUAACACAUGCAAGUCGAACGAGACCUUCGGGUCUAGUGGCGCACGGGUGCGUAACGCGUGGGAACCUGCCCUUAGGUUCGGAAUAACUCCCCGAAAGGGGUGCUAAUACCGGAUAAUGUCUUCGGACCAAAGAUUUAUCGCCUUUGGAUGGGCCCGCGUUGGAUUAGCUAGUUGGUAGGGUAAAAGCCUACCAAGGCGACGAUCCAUAGCUGGUCUGAGAGGAUGAUAAGCCACACUGGGACUGAGACACGGCCCAGACUCCUACGGGAGGCAGCAGUGGGGAAUAUUGGACAAUGGGCGAAAGCCUGAUCCAGCAAUGCCGCGUGAGUGAUGAAGGCCUUAGGGUUGUAAAGCUCUUUUAACCGGGAUGAUAAUGACAGUACCGGGAGAAUAAGCUCCGGCUAACUCCGUG